AAAAAUCUUGAGUCUUUUUCACUGAUUAUCAACUUCCUGCAGAACCUAACUGAGGAGCAAUGGAGUAGGAUUCGUAAUGGCAUUUCUGACCCGCUGACAAAACAACAGCUUGCCGGCUUGUGUCUGAGGAUUGUCCAGUUUUUAUCGGACAAGCUGAUGCAGAUCAUCAUCCCAGGUCUUUACGAACUACUGGGCAUCCAAGAUGCUGCCUCCUCUGCA